UUGAUGCAAAACUUGUUUUCCAUCAUCCCGUCUUGCCUGUGUUUUCAAUAUUUUAUAAGACUGCUAAUAUUUUUCUCUCCUGGCUUUCAACAGAUUCGGAGUCUCAUCGGCAGAAAACUUCAGAUGUCUUCAUGAGGAUCAAGCAUGUGUCCCCAGAUGGUUGGCUUCGCCUGCCCAGCUUAUCUUUUCCCUUUUUGUAUCCUCGUUUGUGAUCUUUUCGUUGUUCAGUUAGCUGUUUUUCCUCAUCUAUGCUGUUGCUGUGGCAAGAUAUACAUUGAAGCUGUUGAGGUUUAGGAUGAUCAGAAGUGGGGAUGCUGUGCAUUGCUGUGGAUACACUGAAUUGAGUCAAAGGUGCAGUGAAAGCCUGGGAACAUCACUCAACUGGAAUGACAGCAUCCUAACAAUUAGUGAUUGCAUUAAGUUAUCUUUAUUUUGUUCUAUUACAGUACCUGUUGUGUGUUUGUAUUAUGUGUUUUAGAAGUUCUGGUUGUAUGUAUUAGUCUGCCUAGUUGGCAUGCCCAGCAAAUGUUUGUUUAAAUGUUUGACUUAACAAUGAAUGCAAGGAUGAACUAAAUUUCAGAGCAAUUGUUUUGCCAGUACUUCUUCUUCAUUCUUAGUAACAAAAUUAGUGCUAUCUUCAGAUCAAAAACUGAGUCUUUAAGAGAAAAGAUUAAAUACAUUCUUGCCUCAGCAGUGGUAUUAGAGAUGUCAAGCUCUUUAGCAAAGGAUGCUGAUGUUCCCUACUUCAACGGUGACAACUAUAACCUUUGGGCUCUGAUGAUGAAGACCAUGUACGUUUAGAUCAAAGGAUCUAUGGAAAUUAGUUGAGAAAGGAUUCAGUGAAGAAGGAGAUACAACUAUAAUCAAUGAAAGUCUCAAGAAGGAUGCCAAGGCCAUGUACCUGAUCCAGCGAGCCCUUUAUCCUAGAAUACUGGUACGGAUAUCUGAAGAAAAUAAAGGAGGCAUGGGAUAUAAUAAAAACUGAAUUCCAAGGAGACUCAGACAAUUCCAACAUACAAUUUCAAUUUCAUCCACUUCAAAGGGAGUUUGAUGUUGUUAAAAUGAAGCAAGGUGAGAGUGUCCAAGACUUUGUAAGCAGGGUCCUGGACAUCGUAUAUCAAAUCAGAGUAUUGAAGCAAGAUCUUCCUCAAAAGGCUAUUGUCUCUAAAAUUCUCAUAAGCUUGACUCCCAGAUUUUCACAAGCAGUUCAUUAAUCAUUUGCUUAAACACACUCACUAUAGAAUAGCUCAGUGGCUCACUAAAGAAUCAUGAGGCCAUACUCAACAUUGAAGGAAACCAUCAAGAAGGAGAGAAAGCACUGAAUGCUGGCAGAAGUGGUGUUCAAUUCAAUGAACAUCCACAUCGAGGAGGAAAAGGCCGAGGUCACUAUUUCCCUAGAAGCAGAGGUCGUGGGCUCGGGCGAGGAAGAAGCUCAGAGCUCGGUCGCCUAGAACAUACUUAAUCAGCAGAGCCUAGUAAACAAUAUAAAGGCGUUCAAUGUUUUGUAUGCAAGAAGUAUGGGAAUGUUAAAGCCCAAUGUUGGUAUAGAAACAGAGAAGCUAAUAUAGUAAAAGAAGAGAAGGAGAAGGAAGAAGAAGGAGUUGCGUUCAUGGCAAUCUAUGAAGAACCAAAGAAGAGAGGAGGUACCUGGCUCAUUGAUAGUGGUUGUUCAAACCACAUGACAGGUGAGAAGAAUCUAUUUCAGCAUAUCGAAGACACUCCAAGCUGCUCUAUCACAGUAAGAGACGGGAAAGCUCUGAAGGUUGAAGGAAUAGGAAGUGUGAAUCUCUACUCAAGCAAAGGGAAAAUCACUACCUUGAAUGAUGUACGUACAGUUUGUCCCAAUUUUAGCUCACAAUUUGCUGAGCGUUGGGCAAAUGAUGGAUUCAGGAUUUGAUGUAGAAUUCACCAAAAGAGUGUGUAACAUCAUGGAAACCGAAUCCAAAGCAAGAGUUGCACAGGUAUGUAUGACAACUCACAAAUUGUUUCCCUUAGAAGCAGAUGAUGUUGGAGCUGCGUAUAUGGCGCAAGAUGGAGAUGUUUCAGAUCUAUGGCACAGGAGAUACGGUCAUAUAAAUACAAAAAGCUUGAAACGACUAUCAGAUCAGCAAUUAGUGUAGGGAUUGCCCAAUAUCAAAUAUGUGCAACCAUGCGAAGCAUGCUCUUAAGGAAAGCAAGCUCAAGCUGAAUUUCCUAAAGGAUUGGCAAAGCGUGCGGUGGCUCCUCUGGAGCUAAUUCACGAUGAUCUCGUCGAACCAAUCAGAACACCAUCUAUAGGAGGUAAUUACUACUUCCUUCUACUGACUGAUGACUAUUCUAGACAUAGUUGGGUGUACUUUAUACAGAGAAAACAAGAAGCUUUCCAGCAAUUCAAGCAAUUUAAGCUGCUGGUGGAGAAGCAACUAUCACUUCCUAUGAAGAUCUUAUGCACAGACCAUGGAGGAGAACUCACAUCCAAAGAAUUCGAGGCCUAUUGUAAUACUGUCGGAAUCCUCCAUCAAUUGUCGGCUCCACAAAUACUAUAGCAAAAUGGCGUUGCCGAGCGUAAGAACAAAAUGGUCACUGAGAUGGCGCGAACUCUAUUAAAAUAGAUGAAGGUUCCACCGGAAUACUGGGACGAAGCGAUGGCCACAGCCGUCUACAUUCUCAAUCGAUCACCCACUUCAGCCAUGAAGUUUCAAACUCCAGUGGAGGUGCUGACCGGAGAAAGACCAAGCGUAGACCAUUUCAAGGUCUUCGGGUGUUUGGCUCAUGUGCUCGUUGACUCGCAGCAAAGAGCAAAAUUUGACUCCAAGACAUGAGGAGGAGUCUUCAUUGGCUACAACGAUCGCUCAAGAGCCUAUAAAAUUAUAGAUCAUGAUUCUAAAUGUGUACACGUCAGCAGGAAUGUGCGCUUUUUCGAAGAGAAGCAAUAGGAUUGGCUGAGACAUACUGACUCGGAUGCAUAAAACUCUGAGCUAGCACAUGAGAAGGAGGUGACUCAAACUAUUGAUUGUCCAACGCAAUCUAUACCAUUCGAUCAGAUUAACAAACGGACGGAUCAUUAUCAAUUCUCCACGGUCGUACUAAACAUAUCAACACACGUUUCCAUUUUAUCCGGGAACUUAUAAAGGAUGAAACAAUAGAUGUGAAGCAUUGCAGGACUGAGAAGCAGUUGGCAGACAUUUUCACCAAGAGUUUGUUAAGAAAUAAAUUUGAAGUACUUCGUGGUGAAUUAGGAGUUCGUAAAACUUUUGAUCAAGGGGAGGAUGUUGAGGUUUAGGUUGAUUAGAAGUGGGGAUGUUGUGCACUGCUGUGGAUACACUGAAUUGAGUCAAAGGUACAGUGAAAGCCUGGGAACAUCACUCAACUGGAAUGACAACAUCCUGGCAAUUAGUGAUUGUAUUAAGUUAUCUUUAUUUUGUUCUAUUACAGUAUCUGUGUGUGUGUGUUUGUAUUAUGUGUUUUAGAAGUUCUGGUUGUAUGUAUUAGGUUGCCUGGUUAGCAUGCCCAGCAAAUAUUUGUUUAAAUGUUUGACUGAACAAUGAAUGCAAGGAUGAACUGAAUUUCAGAGUAA